rnacentral:misc_RNA from 1 species
UGUUCGAGCGUCAUUGCAACCCUCAAGCAUUGCUUGGUAUUGGAUGCCACUGCUGUGGUGCAUCUUAAAAGUAUUAGCAGUGGCAUUCAGCUUCUGGCGUAGUAAUCUUCUCGCCUUGGAGUUUGAGUGUCUGACUGCUGGAACCCCCAAAUUUAUCAAAGGUUGACCUCGGAUCAGGUAGGGAUACCCGCUGAACUUAA